rnacentral:rRNA from 1 species
GAUGAACGCUGGCGGCGUGCCUAAUACAUGCAAGUCGAGCGAACAGACGAGGAGCUUGCUCCUCUGACGUUAGCGGCGGAUGGGUGAGUAACACGUGGAUAACCUACCUAUAUGACUGGGAUAACUUCGGGAAACCGGAGCUAAUACCGGAUAAUAUAUUGAACCGUAUGGUUCAAUAGUGAAAGUCGGUUUUGCUGUCACUCAUAGAUGGAUCCGCGCCGCAUUAGCUAGUUGGUAAGGUAACGGCUUACCAAGGCAACGAUGCGUAGCCGACCUGAGAGGGUGAUCGGCCACACUGGAACUGAGACACGGUCCAGACUCCUACGGGACGCAGCAGUAGGGAAUCUUCCGCAAUGGGCGAGAGCCUGACGGAGCAACGCCGCGUGAGUGAUGAAGGUCUUCGGAUCGUAAAACUCUGUUAUUAGGGAAGAACAAAUGUGUAAGUAACUAUGCACAUCUUGACGGUACCUAAUCAGAAAGCCACGGCUAACUACGUG